UACGGGGGGGGCAAGCGUUGUUCGGAAUUACUGGGCGUAAAGGGCUCGUAGGCGGCCAACUAAGUCAGACGUGAAAUCCCUCAGCUUAACCGGGGAACUGCGUCUGAUACUGGAUGGCUUGAAUCCGGGAGAGGGAUGCGGAAUUCCAGGUGUAGCGGUGAAAUGCGUAGAUAUCUGGAGGAACACCGGUGGCGAAGGCGGCAUCCUGGACCGGCAUUGACGCUGAGGAGCGAAAGCCAGGGGAGCAAACGGG
rnacentral:rRNA from 1 species